GUUAUUAAAUUGCUCUUCAUUGUAUAGCGCAGUGGAGCCCCCUGGUGGAACGUCUCUGUUUUCGCCUCGACGUUGUUUAGUGUUCUCCGUGCGUGCCCUGUGCAUUUACCGUGCUUCACAGGUGCACUUACUGUUACACGGUCUUGUGAUGAGCAAAGUCCAGUUAAAGAGCAGGGGGAGGUUUGGAAACAGGAGCCAUUGUGGUUCAUUUGCAGUUUCCAGCAGUUCCGUGCCGCAGGCUGUGUGGGAGCACGACGUGGCGUUGCUGCAGGCUUCCUUCAAGCUUCUUCCCAGCCCCUUCCUCUGCAAGAGCUCUGUGAACUGAGCGGGGCAUAAGAGCCAGCUGACCACUGACCACUCCAGGACAGAGGGGAUGGACUCAGAGCCGAAGCAGAAGAGCAGCAUCCUGGGGCACCAAGACACAGGCCUCACUGUCUCGGUCUUCCUGGUUCUGCUGAUCCUGGCCGUUGCCAUGGCAGCGGUUGUUUACUACCCGACCCGGCCCUGCAGGUGGAGGCGCCGGAGGGAGGAGCAACUCUCACUGACAGCCAAUCAGAUCACAUAGAAGGAGCGCCAGGAGAGGAAGCAGUCCGCCACACCUUGCUUUACCCACAAUGCCCUUCACCUCUUGUUGUUUCAGCCUUCUCCCAAUGCAGUGUUAGUCUGCAUCACAUAACCACCGCCUGACCUGGAUUCAUUCUCAUCCUCUGCUUGAGAGUCCCAGGACGGAGUGGCAGGCAGGCAGGACAGAGGCAUUCUGGGAUUGUGCCUGCUUGCAGACCGGAGUGUCACAUCCCCCUCAUCCUUUCACAGUGUGAUUCAGAUCUGUCUUUCUUAAUUACUACAUUGGCAUAUUUUUAAUUUAAGAGUAAAAUAAAUAUAAUUUGUAUGAAACACU